ACGGGAGGCAGCAGUGGGGAAUAUUGCACAAUGGGGGAAACCCUGAUGCAGCAACGCCGCGUGAAGGAAGACGGUCUUCGGAUUGUAAACUUUUGUUCUUAGUGAAGAUAAUGACGGUAGCUAAGGAGAAAGCCACGGCUAACUACGUGCCAGCAGCCGCGGUAAUACGUAGGUGGCAAGCGUUAUCCGGAUUUACUGGGUGUAAAGGGCGCGUAGGCGGGGAUGCAAGUCAGAUGUGAAAUCUAUGGGCUUAACUCAUAAACUGCAUUUGAAACUGUAUCUCUUGAGUGCUGGAGAGGUAGAUGGAAUUCCUUGUGUAGCGGUGAAAUGCGUAGAUAUAAGGAAGAACACCAGUGGCGAAGGCGAUCUACUGGACAGUAACUGACGCUGAGGCGCGAGAGCGUGGGGAGCAAACAGGAUUAGAUACCCUGGUA
rnacentral:rRNA from 1 species